GACGAACGCUGGCGGCGUGCUUAACACAUGCAAGUCGAACGGAAAGGCCCUGCUUUUGUGGGGUGCUCGAGUGGCGAACGGGUGAGUAACACGUGAGUAACCUGCCCUUGACUUUGGGAUAACUUCAGGAAACUGGGGCUAAUACCGGAUAGGAGCUCCUGCUGCAUGGUGGGGGUUGGAAGGUUUCGGCGGUUGGGGAUGGACUCGCGGCUUAUCAGCUUGUUGGUGGGGUAGUGGCUUACCAAGGCUUUGACGGGUAGCCGGCCUGAGAGGGUGACCGGCAACAUUGGGAUUGAGAUACGGCCAGACUCCUACGGGAGGCAGCAGUGGGGAAUAUUGCACAAUGGGCGGAAGCCUGAUGCAGCAACGCCGCGUGCGGGAUGACGGCCUUCGGGUUGUAAACCGCUUUCGCCUGUGACGAAGCGUGAGUGACGGUAAUGGGUAAAGAAGCACCGGCUAACUACGUG
rnacentral:rRNA from 1 species